CUCUAUGGUAGCGUCGGCGUCCCCAGCGGCGGUGGCACCCGUGGUUGAAGAAGCGUGCGGGUUCCAACUUUCCUACAGACUGGGCUGGUUUAGAUGAAGAUGAAGAUGCACAUGUCUGGGAGGAUAAUUGGGAUGAUGACAAUGUAGAGGAUGACUUCUCCAACCAGUUAAGAGCUGAACUA